UUCAUGCUCGAUGGAGAAUGGGGGGAUUGAUUCAUUCAUGCUUGAGGUUUCGGUGGGAGGCAUUGGGUUCAUGGAUUGGCCUUCUGGGUUUGUGAGAGAGGAGGCAAGGUUUACACAGUAGUAAGAUGGGCAAUUCCGAAUUUUAAUUAAAUAUUUUAUUUGUAUUAUUUGUUUAUUUUGACCAAGCAUUAAUUUAUAAAAACUUUUAACGGGAUGAUCAUGUUGCUGAAGGACUUAAAUUUUAGAAACCUAAUUGUUUCAUAUAAUAAGAGAAUUUAAGUACUUAAAUUUUAGAAACCUAAUUGUUUCAUAUAAUAAGAGAAUUUAAGUGUGGUUUUUUUUAUAAACAUCAGGA
rnacentral:lncRNA from 1 species